GACGUAGGUGGCGAACGUUAUCCGGAAUUAUUGGGCGUAAAGGGUGCGUAGGCGGCGCCGUAAGUCAGGUGUGAAAUUUCGGAGCUUAACUCCGAAACUGCAUUUGAUACUGCGGUGCUUGAGGACUGGAGAGGAGACUGGAAUUUACGGUGUAGCAGUGAAAUGCGUAGAUAUCUGGAGGAACACCGGUGGCGAAGGCGGCAUCCUGGACCAUUACUGACGCUGAGGAGCGAAAGCCAGGGGAGCAAACGGGG
rnacentral:rRNA from 1 species